rnacentral:rRNA from 1 species
UACGUAGGGUGCAAGCGUUAAUCGGAAUUACUGGGCGUAAAGCGUGCGCAGGCGGCUUUGCAAGACAGAUGUGAAAUCCCCGGGCUUAACCUGGGAACUGCAUUUGUGACUGCAUGGCUGGAGUGCGGCAGAGGGGGAUGGAAUUCCGCGUGUAGCAGUGAAAUGCGUAGAUAUCAGGAAGAACACCGGUGGCGAAAGCGGUCUGCUGGGCAGUUGCUGACACUGAGGCGCGACAGCGUGGGGAGCAAGCAGG